AAAGAAUUAGUUAAAAUUAUAACAUUAGAUUGUCAAACUAAAAUUAAUUAAAAUUAAUUAUUUUUUA
rnacentral:tRNA from 1 species